UACGUAGGGUGCAAGCGUUAAUCGGAAUUACUGGGCGUAAAGCGUGCGCAGGCGGUUUGUAAGUCUGUCGUGAAAACUCGGGGCUUAACCCCGGGCCUGCAGUGGGUACGGGCAGACUAGAGUGCGGUAGGGGAGACUGGAAUUCCUGGUGUAGCGGUGGAAUGCGCAGAUAUCAGGAGGAACACCGAUGGCGAAGGCAGCUCGCUGGGACGGUACUGACGCUGGAGACGCGAAAGCGUGGGGAGCGAACAGG
rnacentral:rRNA from 1 species